GACUUCCAAGCGGUGCUGGAGAGGAUGCUCCAGCUGCGCCUGGAUUGCCCGCCGGACGGCGACGGGGUCACCGCUCCUCCGUACGCCCCGGCGCAGCCCGCCGCCGCAGACGACGACCAUGCAAAAGUAAAACAAUCGGCGGCUGAAUGGACGGAGGUCCUGGUGGGCGAGAUGGCGAGCGCCGCUUCCAUGGACGACGCCCGGCGCCGCGCCGCAAAGAUCCUCGAGGCCUUCGGGGGCGCCGUCUGCACUCGCGCCGCGCGUGUCGUCGCCGAUAAGGACCGGGAGCUGGGAAACAUCCGGCGGCAGAACACCAUCCUGAAGAAGGCGGUGCUGCUCCAGCACCGGCAGCACUUGGAGGACGAGGCGGAGGGCAGGGAGCUCCAGGGCCAGGUCGCCCAGCACCGGGAGCAGGUCCGGCAGCUCGAGGCGGACAAGUAUGUGCUGUCCAUGCACCUCAGGAACGCGGGCGGCGGGGCGUCCAUGCCUGGGAACUUCAACCCGGAGGUUUUCUGA
rnacentral:rRNA from 1 species